ACAUCGGUAGCACAGUGGUCAGUGCAGUAUGCCAGAAACAGAAAGACGCGGGUUUAAUUCCCGUCAAGUGUU
rnacentral:tRNA from 1 species